rnacentral:lncRNA from 1 species
CACCACAGCUGUGAAUGUAAUGGGUCACAUCUGAAACCAGCACAUCUCUGAGUCUUACCCAAGGCCCAUGAUCUUAGUGGCAGACAAAGGAUUUGACUUUGGAGAGGAUGGUGUGGAGAACUGAAAUUCCGCUAAGAACACCUUAGGAUUCCCUAUAGGGUAAAGUGAAGAUCUUCAACUGGGCGUUGUGGAUUUAGAUGUGUAUGAGAAAUCCAGAUUAUCCUACAGGGUAUUACAAAGCUCAGAAUGGUAAACUUUAAGUCACUGUAGCUAGUUCUGAUUUUUACAAUUGAAAUUACACUUGAUGCCACUAUUUUCCAUAAGUGAUGCUUCUGACAUUUUAUGCAAACUUCAGUUUAUAUAUAAAAUUGGAUGCUCUGAAUGCUUUGAUUAGCAUGGUCUUACCUGAGCUAGUUAAAACAUGAUUUUAAUAAGACCAAAGAUCAAGAUUUCCUUCAGAAGCCAACUCCAAGUGAAGUUGUCCUCCUCAUGCGAACUACAGCUUAAAUUCCGGACAUAACAGCUUAGCUUCCAGAGAGAAGAAACAGUGACCUAGGACGGCAAUGAAACACAUUGAUCCUACCUUUGGAAUAUGGAUAGAAGAAGAAAAGUGGAUCAAAAGUGGAUUUUAGUUGUAAAUUCAGCCAUGACAGAAAUACCAUGAAUCCACUGAAUGCAUCCUUCAUCUAUAUCAAUAACACAUACAGUGUGAGCUGUCAAAUUAUGGCCAGAAGUGUGUAUAUGAAUACAAAAGUUAAUUUUUAAGUGACUAGCCUUAAGAGUUUUAGUCCGAGAAUGUGCAUAAUUAAAAACAAUGAGUAUUUUUAUCAGAAUAAUCUGAAAAAAAUUCUUAGAAUCAUUAUGAUAAAACCAGUCUCAUUUGUUUAAUGUCCUACAGCAUCACAAAUUGU